ACAAAGUGUGUCACACACACACACACACACACACACACACACACACACACACACACACACACACACACACUUUGACACCACUACCCUUUUGACACACAUCCCUCAGCAAAAAAUUCAGGUCCUUUAGUUUUAGUGUUUUGUGAGUUUUAUUGCUGAAAAAAAUGCAACUGUUAUUUUCGUGUUAUUUCCACAUCACUGAUAUACAACCAGCCCAAAGAAUGUAACGUAUGUACCUUGUUUGACUGUGUCCCAAAUGACACCCUAUUUCCUAUAUAGUGCCCUACGUUUUAUCCAGAGCUGGUCUAAAGUAGUGCACUAUGAAACAGGGUGGGACGUAGGCAUUCCGCUGUAGAAGAGAAACAGGCUUUUGUCUAAUCAAGUGGUUCAAUCAUGUUCCAUUCAAUAGUAUGAGAAUCCAGUUCCGGAAUUCUACGUUCUGAUUCUAUGAUUCCGUUGUUCCGAUGUUACUGUAACAAGCACCUCUGUUUGGACUAUUCUGAAUGUUGGACCUGAACCGUGUUUCUUUACCAUUGACAGACUGAAACCCAACUGUUAUUUCAUCAAUACACACCGUGGUGGUUUCUAGAACUGUUAUUUCACCAAUACACACCGUGGUGGUUUCUAGAACUGUUAUUUCACCAAUACACACCGUGGUGGUUUCUAGAACUGUUAUUUCACCAAUACACACCGUGGUGGUUUCUAGAACUGUUAUUUCACCAAUACACACCGUGGUGGUUUCUAGAACUGUUAUUUCACCAAUACACACCGUGGUGGUUUCUAGAACUAACUGUUAUUUCACCAAUACACACCGUGGUGGUUUCUAGAACUAACUGUUAUUUCACCAAUACACACCGUGGUGGUUUCUAGAACUGACUGUUAUUUCACCAAUACACACCGUGGUGGUUUCUAGAACUAACUGUUAUUUCACCAAUACACACCGUGGUGGUUUCUAGAACUAACUGUUAUUUCACCAAUACACACCGUGGUGGUUUCUAGAACUAACUGUUAUUUCACCAAUACACACCGUGGUGGUUUCUAGAACUAACUGUUAUUUCACCAAUACACACCGUGGUGGUUUCUAGAACUGACUGUUAUUUCACCAAUACACACCGUGGUGGUUUCUAGAACUGUUAUUUCACCAAUACACACCGUGGUGGUUUCUAGAACUAACUGUUAUUUCACCAAUACACACCGUGGUGGUUUCUAGAACUGUUAUUUCACCAAUACACACCGUGGUGGUUUCUAGAACUGUUAUUUCACCAAUACACACCGUGGUGGUUUCUAGAACUAACUGUUAUUUCACCAAUACACACCGUGGUGGUUUCUAGAACUAACUGUUAUUUCACCAAUACACACCGUGGUGGUUUCUAGAACUAACUGUUAUUUCACCAAUACACACCGUGGUGGUUUCUAGAACUAACUGUUAUUUCACCAAUACACACCGUGGUGGUUUCUAGAACUAACUGUUAUUUCACCAAUACACACCGUGGUGGUUUCUAGAACUGUUAUUUCACCAAUACACACUGUGGUGGUUUCUAGAACUGUUAUUUCACCAAUACACACCGUGGUGGGUUCUAGAACUAACUGUUAUUUCACCAAUACACACCGUGGUGGUUUCUAGAACUAACUGUUAUUUCACCAAUACACACCGUGGUGGGUUCUAGAACUGUUAUUUCACCAAUACACACCGUGGUGGUUUCUAGAACUGUUAUUUCACCAAUACACACCGUGGUGGUUUCUAGAACUAACUGUUAUUUCACCAAUACACACCGUGGUGGUUUCUAGAACUGUUAUUUCACCAAUACACACCGUGGUGGUUUCUAGAACUAACUGUUAUUUCACCAAUACACACCGUGGUGGUUUCUAGAACUAACUGUUAUUUCACCAAUACACACCGUGGUGGUUUCUAGAACUGUUAUUUCACCAAUACACACCGUGGUGGUUUCUAGAACUGUUAUUUCACCAAUACACACCGUGGUGGUUUCUAGAACUAACUGUUAUUUCACCAAUACACACCGUGGUGGGUUCUAGAACUAACUGUUAUUUCACCAAUACACACCGUGGUGGUUUCUAGAACUAACUGUUAUUUCACCAAUACACACCGUGGUGGUUUCUAGAACUAACUGUUAUUUCACCAAUACACACCGUGGUGGUUUCUAGAACUAACUGUUAUUUCACCAAUACACACCGUGGUGGUUUCUAGAACUGUUAUUUCACCAAUACACACCGUGGUGGUUUCUAGAACUAACUGUUAUUUCACCAAUACACACCGUGGUGGUUUCUAGAAAUCCUGCUAGUUUACUGGUUAAAAACCAGCUCAGAAACCGACUAGUUUUUAUGUACACUUACCAGGUAACCCCAACUAGUUUUAAUGUACACUUACCAGGUAACCCCAACUAGUUUACUGUACACUUACCAGGUAAUCCCAACUAGUUUACUGUACACUUACCAGGUAAUCCCAACUAGUUGUAAUGUACACUUACCAGGUAAUCCCAACUACUUUUAAUGUACACUUACCAGGUAAUCCCAGCUAGUUUACUGUGCACUUACCAGGUAAUCCCAACUAGUUUUUAUGUACACUUACCAGGUAACCCCAACUAGUUUUGAUGUACACAUACCAGGUAACCCCAACUAGUUUUAAUGUACAUUUACCAGGUAAUCCCAACUAGUUUUAAUGUACACUUACCAGGUAACCCCAACUAGUUUUAAUGCACACUUACCAGGUAACCCCAACUAGUUUUUAUGUACACUUACCAGGUAACCCCAACUAGUUUUGAUGUACACUUACCAGGUAAUCCCAACUAGUUUUAAUGUACACUUACCAGGUAACCCCAACUAGUUUUAAUGCACACUUACCAGGUAACCCCAACUAGUUUUAAAGUACACUUACCAGGUAAUCCCAACUAGUUUUAAUGUACACUUACCGGGUAAUCCCAACUACUUUUAUAGUACAUUUACCAGGUAAUCCCAACUAGUUUUAAUGUACCUCGGUCAAAAUGAAAAUAAAACCCAAUUUACAAAUGUAUUGUUGGUUGUGUGUUUUUGUUGCUUACUUUACAGGAGCAGUGACGGCCUCCACUGGAACACUGUCUGUACCUGGUCUGACUAUGUCCUGAGGAGACCCAGGAACACACACACACCAUACCACCACACACACACACACACACACACACACCAUACCACCACACACACACACACACCAUACCACCACACACACACACACACCAUACCACCACACACACACACCAUACCACAACACACACACACACACACACACACCAUACCACCACACACACACCUGACACACACACCAUAGUUCCAGUACUUUCUUUAUUACAAGCCAACUAACUGUAUGAACACAACCUCAGCCUCCAACCCGUUUUUACAUGGCUUCAUUCAUCACAUACAUUCUCUGCAUCAGAACCAACGCACACACAUACUAUUAACAUAAAACAAACCCUGAACAUCAAGCUAAAGUAUUUACACAUGAAGAGUUGGUUUCCAGACAGAGCCUCUCCUGGUUCUAUGUUUCCCAGACAGAGCCUCUCCUGGUUCUAUGUUUCCCAGACAGAGCCUCUCCUGGUUCUAUGUUUCCCAGUCAGAGCCUCUCCUGGUUCUAUGUUUCCCAGACAGAGCCUCUCCUGGUUCUAUGUUUCCCAGACAGAGCCUCUCCUGGUUCUGUUUCCCAGACAGAGCCUCUCCUGGUUCUAUGUUUCCCAAACAGAGCCUCUCCUGGUUCUAUGUUUCCCAGUCAGAGCCUCUCCUGGUUCUGUUUCCCAGACAGAGCCUCUCCUGGUUCUGUUUCCCAGUUAGAGCCUCUCCUGGUUCUAUGUUUCCCAGACAGAGCCUCUCCUGGUUCUAUGUUUCCCAGUCAGAGCCUCUCCUGGUUCUAU